rfam:Bacillus azotoformans LMG 9581 contig153, whole genome shotgun sequence.
GUUAAAUUAACUAUUAUACCGUAGACAGUAGGUGUUCCUUACGGACUUAAUUUCCUGCCGAGGUGUGUUUAUAAAUCUGUUACAUUUCGUAAUGAACGGAUCUAUUAUGCCUCCAUGUCUACUGACGUUGGAGGCUUUUAUAUUCCUUA